CUCCGGAGGUUAGUGGCGAACGAGUUAGUAUAAGCUUGAUAACCUACCCCAAAGUCAUGGAUAACCUGCGGAAACGUGGGCUAAUACAUGAUGGUCUGCAUCUUCACAAGGAGAUGUAGUAAAGUUCCGACGCUCUGGGAGGGGUCUAGCCCGUAUCAGCUAGUUGGUGAGGUAAUGGCUCACCAAGGCUAUGACGCGUAGGGGACCUGAGAGGGUGACCCCCAACGAUGGGACUGCGACACGGCCCAUACUCCUACGGGAGGCAGCAGCCGAGAAUCUUCCGCAAUGCACUCUUUAGUGUGACGGAGCGACGCCGCGUGAAGGAAUGAAGCCCUGUGGGGUGUAAACUUCUGUCGGGGAGGAGCAAUUUUUGAGAGUACUCCCCUAAUAGAGGCUGCUAACUUCGUGCCAGCAGCAGCGGUAAUACGAAGGCCUCGAGCGUUAUCCGGAUUUAUUGGGCGUAAAGCGUCCGCAGUCGGAUUGAAAAGUCUUUGCUAAAAUCCUUGGGCUCAACCCAAGGCCUGUCAUUGAAACUUUCAAUCUAGAGUAUGUCAGAGGUAAGCGGAACUCAUGGUGUAGCAGUGAUAAGCGUUGAUAUCAUGGGGAACACCAAAGGCGAAGGCAGCUUACUGGGGCAUUACUGACGAUCAGGGACGAAAGUGUAGGUAUCGAAGCGGAUUAGAUACCCGCGUAGUCUACACCCUAAACGAUGGACACUAGACAUUUGGAGCAUCGACCCUCCGAGUGUCGAAGCUAACGCGUUAAGUGUCCCGCCUGGGAAGUACGGCCGCAAGGCUAAAACUCAAAGGAAUGGACGGGAGCUCGCACAAGUGGUGGAGCAUGUGGUUUAAUUCGAUGAUAAGCGGGGAACCUUACCAGGUCUAGACAUCAUUCUGCAAGCCUUUGGAAACAUUGGCCGCCUUAGAGGGUGAAUGACAGGUGAUGCACGGUUGUCGUCAGCUCGUGCCGUGAGGUGUUCCGUUAAGUCGGGAAACGAGCGCAACCCUCAUCGUCAGUUACAAGUGUCUGGCGAGACUGCCCGGGUUAACCGGGAGGAAGGAGAGGAUGACGUCAAAUCAGCGUGUUCCUAGACGACCUGGGCUACACACGUGCUACAAUGGGAUGGACAACGGGUUGCUACAUCGCAAGAUCAAGCUAAUCCCUUAAACCAUUCCUCAGUUCGGAUAGAAGGCUGCAACUCGCCUUCUUGAAGCUGGAAUCACUAGUAAUCGCGGAUCAGCCUCGCCGCGGUGAAUACGUUCUCGAGCUUUGUACUCACCGCCCGUCACGUCAAGGGAGCCGGUAAUACCCGAAGCAUGUUCAUUAA
rnacentral:rRNA from 1 species